GCGCGACACUUGUCUACGUACCCCUUCCCCCUCCCCCGCAUGUGUGUCCCCUGUCUGGGUGGUGGAUACGUCUGACGCAUACUGCGCACAGCAGCUAUCGCCUCUUUUUUUUUCGUGGACUUUGCCUGCCUUGUUCGCAUCGGACUUUGUUGAUCUUUCUCCAUCUCGCUGCUCUUUGCGCUGCUCUCGAUAGAUUUUUUGGGCAUGGGGGGCACUCUUCAAUUGAUCGGUGGGCGCUCUUAUGCGAGCGCAUUCUUGCCAGCCUCCUUGCAAGCUUUUCGCCGCCACGAUCGCUAAGGUGAAGCAGACAUGACAUUUUGUUUUCUCGGCUCCUUCAUCUACUCUCCCCCUUCCGCCGCACAGCCGCGCCACCCAUUGUGCUGGUCGCGACCCAGUGCAUCUCCUCGCGGUCGCGCAGGCUGUGCCUCCACCAGCAGGCAGUGCGGGGGCCGUGUGGGAUACGUUCGAGUCACGCGGACACGUCGCCUAUCGCGUGGAUGGCAGAAGCGUGCGCACCGUCGCUGGCCUCUCCAGCGCAACAAUGUCCACAGCCUGACCGCCGGCAUGCGUAGCGGUACAUCGCUCUGACCCUCCCGCCCUCCGCCAUGUCCGAGGUGCGUGAAGUUUUCACCACCUGAAGUGGCUCGGCGUUGGCAGGGAUAGGGGGAGGAGGGGUGUACUGCGCCCUGCGAUGCCACGCGCGGAGAGGGGUGUCCUCCCCGCUCCCUCCACGCCUCUCCCUUGUCCUCUAUUCCUCGUUGUCUCUCUCGCCUCUCUCGCGGCAGUGACGCGCGCCGAAGUCCGUGUAGAGUGUAGGUCGUUUUCUCGAAUGCUGCAUGCAUGCUUACACUUCAAUGGCUUGUGUGUAAACUUUACACCUGAUUUCACUCCCUCCCUUCCUCUCUCUCGUUUUCUCGUGUUUUCGCGACUCUGGCGUGAGGCCUCUCCCUCUUUUCAUGUGUAGUGUAGGUGUAUCUAUCUAGUAUCAUCUGCUGUCUUUGUCCGCUGAUGUUGGCUGUCGUUCUCGUGACGGCGGUGUUCUGUGUGAUUCUCUUUGGGUACAUGCAAUGCAUCAUUAUUCUUGUGUGUUUUGCCGCGUGCAGAUGCGGCAAGCUGCCCCCCCCCCCCCAUGCGGAAUUGUGUAUCUGUGUGUCUUGCAGGUGCGUGUGUGCUUGUGCUGGAGCUCUUCAUGGCUUUGGCGUGCUCUGAUGCGGCGCGUGCGCCUACUUUCUCUUCUUCAUCCCACCUCUUCAGCCGCUGUCGCGCCUCUGUGUACGUUAUUGGGCGUCGUUGUUGCGUCUUCGCGCACUCCUUCUCCACUGCGCCCGCUUCCCAUGUUUGACUGAAACAUGUGUGCAUAGCGUGUCUCCUUUCUCUCGGUGCUGGCGUAGAGAAGACAAACACAACGCUCAACGAGUCGAAGAGUGCAUCUGUGACACACAUGUAAACCCCCGCCCCGCAUCCCGAUUCCGAAAGGUGCGUGGAUGUAUAUGGUACUGGCGCUUACACAAACGUGCCUGUUGCCACACCAACCUCCUCUCUCCCACCCCUCCCCAGACGUACGCCAUUUUGUCGCCUUUUUUUAUCCUACAACCCGCUUCGUGUUUCUGUUGGCGUGCUCUGCGUGUGGGGUGAUCCCGAACCCCUCUUUUCGCGGGCCCUUCCUCUGUCCUCUCUUUGGGCCACGAGCGUGCCACAUCAGCUGCUCCUGAUGAUGGUGGCUGCGGUGGCGGGAGGAUGGAGAGGAGGGAAGAAAGGUUGAAGGAGUCUUUCCUGCGGGCCAUACUACAUUCUUCGCAGGCGAUGUUGAGUGGUCUUCUAGUGCUUCUGCCUUCUGUCUCCUCCGUGUCUCUCUCGUUUAUGCCACUGUUGUGCUUCCGCUUCACACACGAACGCACCAAUAACCCCCACCCCCGCCCUCCCCUUGGAAUAUAUGGCACGCUCUUUCCUCUUCCUCCGUGCAUCAUUGAAUGAUUUACACACACGCACACGCACAUGCACACUUACUUACGUGGGCACAAACGCGUGCAUGCAAUGCUUACCAUGAAG
rnacentral:misc_RNA from 1 species